ensembl:rRNA 5S_rRNA 5S ribosomal RNA
GUCUACAGCCACCACCUUGAACGCACCUGAUCUCAUCUGAUCUCGGAAGCUAAGCAGGGUUAGGCCUGGUUAGUACUUGGAUGGGGAGACAAUUUAAAAAGCAAAAAGAGAAACCCUGCCAGGGCGUUCCUGACC